GACGAACGCUGGCGGCGUGCCUAACACAUGCAAGUCGAACGGAGAUACGAUUUCGGUUGUAUCUUAGUGGCGAACGGGUGAGUAACGCGUGAGCGACCUGACCUUUAGAGGGGGAUAACACUUGGAAACAGGUGCUAAUACCGCAUAAGACCACGACCCGACAUCGGGAUGAGGUCAAAGGAGAAAUCCGCUCAAGGAGGGGCUCGCGUCCCAUUAGAUAGAUGGGGGGGUACCGGCCCACCAUGUCGACGAUGGGUAGCCGAGCUGAGAGGCUGAUCGGCCACACUGGAACUGAGACACGGUCCAGACUCCUACGGGAGGCAGCAGUGGGGAAUAUUGGGCAAUGGGCGCAAGCAUGACCCAGCAACGCCGCGUGAGGGAAGAAGGCCUUCGGGCUGUAAACCUCUGUCCUUGGUGACGAAACAAAUGACGGUAGCCAAGGAGGAAGCCCCGGCUAACUACGUGCCAGCCGCCGCCGUAA
rnacentral:rRNA from 1 species